UACGUAGGGUGCAAGCGUUGUCCGGAAUUAUUGGGCGUAAAGAGCUCGUAGGCGGUCUGUCGCGUCGGAUGUGAAAACUCGGGGCUCAACCCCGGGCCUGCAUUCGAUACGGGCAGACUAGAGUUCGGCAGGGGAGACUGGAAUUCCUGGUGUAGCGGUGAAAUGCGCAGAUAUCAGGAGGAACACCGGUGGCGAAGGCGGGUCUCUGGGCCGAUAUUGACGCUGAGGAGCGAAAGCGUGGGGAGCGAACAGG
rnacentral:rRNA from 1 species